UACGUAGGAGGCAAGCGUUGUCCGGAGUUACUGGGCGUAAAGCGCACGCAGGCGGUCGCAUCAGUCUGGGGUGACAGUUCCCGGCCUAACCGGGAAAGUGCUCUGGAAACUGUGCGACUUGAGGGCUUCAGAGGGAGGUAGAAUUCCACGUGUAGCAGUGAAAUGCGUAGAGAUGUGGAGGAAUACCGAUGGCGAAGGCAGCCUCCUGGGCCAACACUGACGCUCAUGCACGAAAGCGUGGGGAGCAAACAGG
rnacentral:rRNA from 1 species